CGCCAGAUGCUGAAGCUACUCUAGGCAGGUAAAAACAGAGCCUCUUAAAGGGAUGUUCUAGGGUGAAUUAGAGCUAAUUUUCUGAACUUAAUGAUUGACCUCACUUCAUUGGAGUGUUUUUGUCUGCUUGUAUUGAUAACUGAUGUGCACAAAGAUGUGUGUGGCUUCAACUCCAAACAAGCUAAUAACUCCCACUUCCCAGUCACACCAGAUCUCAAGAAGCUCGUCUUCUUCUACAGUCAUCUCUGACCCAGAACCUGCAAUGAACUGAAACUGGUUUUUAACUAAAUGAAAUAUUCUGACUCGUUUAUUUAAAUUUAGUCCAGUAGAGGGCAUGUGCAACUUUCUAGCAAAAUCAUGCUGUAACACAGCAUGUCUUUUGUUAUUAAACAAAGGAGGUGAGUUUUUAUUGGAUAUAACUAGUCAGUAACUUUAAUAGGAAGAAAUGACAUGAGAUGGACCAAACAGGGAUUGGGGGAGUUUCGUCUUGUGUGUAUGUGGUUACUCUGACAAUAACUCAAACAGAAAUAGUUUCUUCUGCUUUGAGUUGAAGCUUUAUAUGACAGUUUUUGUUACUUAUUCAUAAAACAGAUUCAAGUUUAUUUCACUUCUCUACUUGAACAUUAGUUUCCAAUAAACUUUUCAUCUUGCUGUGAAGGUUUUUUUUUUUUUUUUUUUCAAAGAACCACAAACAGCCACUUCCUUUACUGAGCUCCUUUGCUACAUUAUAAGAUAACAGAGUAUCUUCCUGCUCCUCACAUCAUCAUGUUCAGCCUGAAGCAAGCUGCUCUGCUCUUCAUUCAGCUGUUACUGACAAACUACAUAUCUGCAGGUAUAGAGCCUAUUUUUACUUGUUAUGCAAGAUUCUUAAAUUAAGUUGUCUUGUUAAUAUAUUUUUUCUUCAAUGUCAGCGAUCUCUACAGCAGACCACUACGAUGUGUUGGUGUCCAGAGGAAACUCAGUCCUGCUCACUUGCAAUAUAUCUAAUGAAAAUACAACAAUAAUCCAAUGGACCAAAGACAGAUGUUUUUUUCAUACUCCUUCUCCAAUAAUCGAACUUUUUCAAAUUUCUCCUCUCAUAGACUGAGAAUAGACACAAACAUUCCUUCUACUCUCAGCAUUGAUAGUGCUCAGCUUGAUGAUGCAGGACUUUAUACUUGUCAUAUAACUGAGAAAAAAGGCCUUAACAACAUUACAUGGACCGUAACAGUUCUUGAAAAUCAAAACGGAACCAGUUCAUCACAGUACAUUAUAUUCACACUACCAUCUGCCUUCGGAUUGAUUUUAUGUUUCAUGACUACAGCUCUCUGCCUCCACAGACGCAGCAGGUUAUUGUUUUAUGGUGCCAGUCGUUGGUUAUUAUUUAAUGGCAGCAGGAGGAACACUUCCAGAAACCAAAACCAGGACAGCAGAACAUUUACUACGGUGCAAUACAACAUUCUGGAUGGGAUGAAGGCAGUUCCUUCACCAUUACAAACUACAGCAAUAUGGAGGAGAACUGACAAGCAGGAAGAGGGGGCAGUUCUGAUGACAAGACGAACAACGAGUACGUCACACCAAUCAGGAAAUGACUGACCAAAAUAUAUUUAGUUUACGCCUUGGUUUGAAGGGUUCAUCAAGAAGAAGAUCCAGUUUAAAAGAAGUAAAAAGUGUUAUCCUUAAAACUGGAAAUUCAAACAUGCAAUCUAAUGUAUCUGUAACAUGCAACCUGUUUGCAACUGAAAUGAUUUAUGAUGUUUCCUCUAAAUGUAUUUUUAUGUUAUAAUGUGUCAUAUAUUCAGUAAUGGUACGCUUCAUGUCCCUUUAUGUCCUGAAAAAGCUUUCAAUGCACAUUCAUAAAAUGUUUAUUUUAUUAACAAUAAAUUUAGUUCAAUUAGACUCA